AAAAUACUUUUGUGGGUAAUUUUUGGAAUUGUCUCAAUAAAUAGUUUAUUAAUUUUCAGCUGUCACUAGUAGAAAUACACAAAUGUGCACCGAUAUUUGAAAAUCGGUGCAUAAAACAUAAGUCUAGACCCAAAAAAACUAAAAAUUGGCUUAAAUCAAAUUAGAAACGGUGCCCUUAAUCCCAAAAACUCGCUUCACUUCUCUUAGAUCCCUAACCCUCUUUCCCAUUAUCUCUGAUCUCUCUCGCUCUCUCUCUCUUUCUCUUUCUCUUUCAUUCUCCCCUUCCACCGCCGCCCCGCCACCGGCGACGGCCACUCUAUCUCUCUAUUUCUUACUCCACUUCUCAUUCCCUCUCCUCUGCUCGUGGUCCUCAUUUUCUCACUCCUCGUUUCUCUCUGCUUACCUCAAAGUCUCCAGAUCGAUCUACUUGGCGCAAUGAAUUGAAGUGCUGGUUAUUCAUCAUCUUCAAGAGGCAUGUCGAUUCUUAAUUUUCAUACCCUUCUGCAAGGUUAACAAUCCUUAAGCAAGAACCGAGAUUUAUCGCAGGACUUGGGAGUAUUCUCCUUCCAUUUGCUGCUGAAGAAUAAUGUGAGUUUGCCAAUGUCUGCUUAUUUUCUAAUUCCACCAUUUAUCAAUUUGAGAAUUUCUGUCUUUGCUUUCUUUUCGAUUUAAAUACUUUUUGGGGGAUAUUUAUUCCUAAAAAUUUCAUAUGCCAUACUGUCGGAAAAUGGUGUAAUGUUUGUGGAAUGGAGGGAAGAAUUUGUGUCUCAAGAGAGAGGCAGCAGGAUUGUUCAGCUUCUGGUGUAAUUUUGUGCAGCAGCAUCAUCAUAUAAUUACUAAUCAUUAGAGAGCAGCAGGCACAACAGCAACACCAACAUCAUCAUCACCAGAAGCAAAGGAUGUACUCAAGCUCGCUGAAGAAUGUCAAAGCUCUACGGUCUUGUUCGUCAAAAGAUCAGGGAAUCAAGUUGCUCAUAGGCUUAGCAAAGUUAGAGUUGAAAUUUUAAUGGUUUCAUGUUUGGCUAGAGGAUGGGGUACCCAAUGAUUUACAUGGGUUGUUUGUAAUGACCUUGAUUUUUGACUUUGUUUAAUAAAAUCGUUAAAAUCGUUUCGAUU